UGUUGACCCGAUCAAACAGACCUCUAUUGGGAAUUCCGAGAUCGCGAGUGAGUCCGUAGCUUAUUUUUAUGUGUGAAUCCAUGUCUGAUUUUUAUAUGGGAGGUCUCUGCUGAUUGUCGAUUUUCGGGAUUGUGUUUGUGAAAAAAAAGAAAAUUCCGGAUGCGCAGAGGAAAGUGAGAGGGGCGCCACAGCGGACAAGAAUCUGUUGUGGCGGAUGCGUGACAGCGGGGACUUGUCCGGUGGCUCGAGCCCGCUAUAGCGGACUCGUGACCGCUGCUGCGAGGUGACGUGCUCUAGAAUCUAAUAAAUGCUAGGUGAAAUCCUUUCACUCUCUAUCACUUCAUUUAUUACUUCCAAAGCAUUUUUCAGGCGAAUUGAAGAGUUAUGGCUGAUUCUCUCUUGUGAGUACGUGACAGGGUCGACUUCCUCUCCUCAUGGCUGAUUUCCCGAGGCUUUACUGGCGAGCAUCUAGGGGGAGCACAUGGACGGAUCCGCAGCACGGAUGCUUGUUCUUAGCUACUUGUCUUAUUUUGAUAUUCUGAGACAAUAUUUCAUUUUCAGACUUGUAGUCAUAUUAAGACUUGUAGUAUUUGUAGUAGUGGCUCUUGUACGACCUUAGACCAAAUUCCUUGGGAUUGUUGUAUUAUUUUUCGCACUUAUUCACUUAUCCUUUUAUUAUCUACGGUUGAGACUUAUAUU